UACGUAGGGUGCGAGCGUUAAUCGGAAUUACUGGGCGUAAAGCGUGCGCAGGCGGUGAUGUAAGACCGAUGUGAAAUCCCCGGGCUUAACCUGGGAACUGCAUUGGUGACUGCAUUGCUGGAGUAUGGCAGAGGGGGGUGGAAUUCCACGUGUAGCAGUGAAAUGCGUAGAGAUGUGGAGGAACACCGAUGGCGAAGGCAGCCCCCUGGGCCAAUACUGACGCUCAUGCACGAAAGCGUGGGGAGCAAACGGG
rnacentral:rRNA from 1 species